rnacentral:rRNA from 1 species
UACGGAGGGUGCGAGCGUUGUUCGGAAUCACUGGGCGUAAAGCGCGUGUAGGCGGCCUCUUAAGUUUGAUGUGAAAGCCCGGGGCUCAACUCCGGAAGUGCAUCGGAUACUGGGAGGCUAGAGUACCGGAGAGGAGGGUGGAAUUCCUGGUGUAGCGGUGAAAUGCGUAGAUAUCAGGAGGAACACCUGUGGCGAAGGCGGCCCUCUGGACGGAUACUGACGCUGAGACGCGAAAGCGUGGGGAGCAAACAGG